AUGACACCUAAGUUUGUUUGUGUCAAAUCUUUUAUGGAUAUCGAUGCUUUCCGUGAAUUUAGCACUAAAUAUGGACUUGACUCUGAGAUAGUAGCUUCUUUCUGUGAAUCCUUUGCUACUCAUGUUGAUCUCCCUAAGGAUAAGUGGUUUAAAUAUAAUCCUCCCAUUGAAGCAAAAGUAGUUGCACCUAUUAAAGUUGAAGAAAAGACUAUCACUUAUGAUGAUCCUAUUGUUCCUACUGCUUAUGUUGAGAAACCUCCUUUCCCAAUUAGAAUAAAGGAUCACGCUAAAGCUUCAACUGUAGUCAACAAGAGUAAUAUUAGGACACACAAACCCCCUGAGCAAAUUAAAGUUGAACCUAAUAUUGCUAUGGUUAAAGAUCUUUUGGCCGAUAAUAUUGAUGGGCGUGUUAUUUAUUUCUGUGAAGAAACUGCUAGAAUUGCUAAGCCUGGUGCUAAAGAUAAACAUAGACCUGUUAUAGGCAUGCAUGUUAUUUCUGUUAAAAUAGGAGAUCAUUGUUAUCAUGGCUUAUGUGAUAUGGGUGUUAGUGCUAGUGCAAUACCUCAUUUAUUAUACGAAGAAAUUAUGCAUGAUAUUGCACCUGCUGACAUAGAAGAUAUCGACGUUACAAUUAAGCUUGCUAAUAGAGAUACUAUUUCACCGAUUGGGAUUGUUAGAGAUGUUGAAGUCUUGUGUGGGAAGGUUAAAUAUCCUGCUGAUUUUCUUGUUCUUGGUUCCCCACAAGAUAGCUUUUGUCCCAUUAUAUUUGGUAGGCCCUUCUUAAAUACUAUUAAUGCUAGGAUAGGCUGCGAAAAGGAUGUUGUUACUAUUGGUUUGGGUGAUAUGUCUCAUGAGUUUAAUUUCUCUAAAUUUCAUAGACAACCCCGUGAUGAGGAAUUACCUAGUACGGAUGAAAUUAUUGGUCUUGCUUCUAUUGUUGUGCCUCCUAAUGAUCCUUUAGAACAAUAUUUGCUCGACCAUGAAAAUGAUAUGUUUAUGAAUGAAAGAAGGGAAAUAGACGAAGUAUUCUUUAAACAGGGACCUAUUCUGAAACACAACUUGCCUAUUGAAAUCCUAGGGGAUCCUCCUCCACCCAAGGGUGAUCCCGUGUUUGAGCUUAAACCUUUACCUGAUACUCUUAAAUAUGCUUAUCUUGAUGAAAACAAGAUAUAUCCUGUUAUUAUUAGUGCUAACCUUUCAGAGCAUGAAGAAAAGAAAUUAUUCAAAACUCUGAAUAAGCACCGUGCUGUUAUUGGAUAUACUCUUGAUGACCUUAAGGGCAUUAGUCCCACUCUACAAAAUAAAUUUGGAGAAAGAUGCCAAACCAGUUAUUGA
rnacentral:rRNA from 1 species